CCAAUAGCGUAUAUUAAAGUUGCUGCAGUUAAAAAGCUCGUAGUUGAAUUUCGGGACCAUCAUGUCGGUCGUGCCUCGGUACGUACUGGCAUUGUUGGUUUCUCCCUUCUGACGAACCAUGAUGUCAUUUAUUUGAUGUUGUGGGGAAUCAGGACUGUUACUUUGAAAAAAUUAGAGUGUUUAAAGCAGGCUCACGCUUGAAUACAUUAGCAUGGAAUAAUGAAAUAGGACGUUUGAUUCUAUUUUGUUGGUUUCUAGGAUCGACGUAAUGAUUAAUAGGGAUAGUUGGGGGCAUUAGUAUUCAAUUGUCAGAGGUGAAAUUCUUGGAUUUAUUGAAGACUAACUACUGCGAAAGCAUUUGCCAAGGAUGUUUUCAUUAAUCAAGAACGAAAGUUAGGGGAUCGAAGACGAUCAGAUACCGUCGUAGUCUUAACCAUAAACUAUGCCGACUAGGGAUCGGAUGAUGUUAAUUUUUUAAUGACUCAUUCGGCGCCUUACG
rnacentral:rRNA from 1 species